UCCCUUGGGAUAUGCUGAAAUAUACAGCCCUGGGCAGCUUUCAAUUUACUCUCUCUAUCUCUCUUCCUCUCGCUCUAAAUAGUUAGGCUGUGAGAGAAAAGCUGGGCUUGUCAGGAAUCUAAUGUGUGCUUUGACCUCUUGUAGCCCAUUAUGUGGAAAAAAUAUGAAGAUGUCUCCGCAAGGAUGGCGUCCUUUGAGACCGAGUGAAAAAAAAAACCGGAAGAUCUAUGAAACCCAUGAAACGCACCAGACUUUAUCCGAUAUCAAACGAUAUCCGAAGACGCAGCCGAGAAGCUCCACAUAUGCAAAAUACAACACAAAGAUAUUAUAGGCGCAAUAGAAAACAUCCUGUUUGCCCUUGCUCUGACAGCAGGGAACCUGUGUGUGAAGAAAAGUCCAACGCAACGCUGCGUGAUAGCACCUGUCCCGAUCGCGCCGAAAGAAAAAAAAAAAAAAAAGACGCGAAAGAAAACCGCGAUUGUUUUUUUUCACUGCUCUGGGUCUGGAUGUGCUGUGAGGGGAGAGGAACGCCCAUAUUCGACCUCUGUCAGUCCUGAUUUCCUGCUGGAGAAGAAGUGUGUCUGAGGAGACAUGACUGAAUAAAAGAGGAAAGAAAAAAAAAGAAGAAAAAAAAAAAACUAAAUGCUGUGAGUUACAGAUCGUCAUUUGCCAGAGAUCUAAUCUUGACUAGCAGGCCUGCACUGAUCUGCAGGAGGAUGCUGGAGUCGAUAUCAUCCCCUCCGAGAGCCAGACUGCCGACUCAGUACUGCAGAGAGCCAUUGAUAAGUCAGCAGAGUGAGAUUCCUCAGAGAAAAGCAGGAAGAGGAAGAGAGUAAGAAAGAAAAAAAAAAAGCUUUUGGGCCAUGUGGAACAAGAAGAUGCCAGCUGUGCCAGCCUGGUUUUGUGAGGUGUCUCCAUGCCCGGCAUGCUGGGCACCGUCACCAUGGCACCGCGAACCGUUCCAUUCUCCGUACCCGGUCUCAAGACAACGCAAAAUUGUGGACAGAAAAAACUAUUUAAAUGCAACUGCUUUAAUUGAAAUAUAAUCAAAGGCUUGUUUAAAAAAAAACUAUUAAAUUUGAGGAAAGAAAGAAAGCAAAAAAAUCAAGAAAAAAAAACCAAAACAAGGCAAAAUCCCCUGCUGUGAUGUUCCAGGUUUUUGGGGGGCCUGAAAUCAGGAUCUGUGGUUGUGUGAAAUGCUCCCAGAACAUAUGGAGGAAGAUCCGCCAGGCCCUGCUUCACAGCUGUCUGCACCCAGCAAAGACCAGACCCUCCCUCUGCCUGCUCCACUGAUAAACACACACACACACCCUCACACAGCACAGAGCAUCAAAAUACAUGAUUUUUAGAAACCGGCAUGAACACCCACGCGCUUAAUAUCGGGCGAAACGCAGAAAUGUGAAAUGUGAA